rnacentral:misc_RNA from 1 species
AAAAGUCGUAACAAGGUCUCCGUUGGUGAACCAGCGGAGGGAUCAUUACAGAGUCGCAACACUCCGUAAACCAUUGUGAACGUUACCUUAACCGUUGCUUCGGCGGGCGGCGCCCCCCGGCCCCCCGUGGGCGCCCGCCGGAGGUACACCAAACUCUUGCAUUGUAUGGCCUCUCUGAGUAUUCUGUACUGAAUAAGUCAAAACUUUCAACAACGGAUCUCUUGGUUCUGG